CUUGUCCGGGGCCUUGGCCCAGGGAGAAAAGCGCUGUUCCGCGUGGGAACGUGUGGAACGUUUACAGCUACCGUAAGAGGGGAGCUGAAGGGUGACCGCCAAGGGUAGUGUGCGCCCCACCUCGGGAAGCUGGGCAGAGAGGAGCCCCGGGGCCCACGGGGGCAUCCUUUACUCAAAGUCCGGGCUCACCCAGGAACAGGACCAGAGACAUUCCCGUACAUCCCAGAACUUUCCGGGGCCUCGUCGGUCUUAUCUCCAAGCCAGCAGCCAGAGGUCUGGCCUUAGUCGACAAAGGGCUCAGUGUGGAGCAGACGGGCCCUGUCUGUGCUGUAACGUCGCCACCAUCUCCGGUUCAGACCCACGCACCGAGAUGAGACACGGCU
rnacentral:lncRNA from 1 species